ACGGGAGGCAGCAGUGGGGAAUAUUGCACAAUGGGGGAAACCCUGAUGCAGCGACGCCGCGUGAGUGAAGAAGUUAUUCGUAAUGUAAAGCUCUAUCAGCAGGGAAGAAAAUGACGGUACCUGACUAAGAAGCCCCGGCUAACUACGUGCCAGCAGCCGCGGUAAUACGUAGGGGGCAAGCGUUAUCCGGAUUUACUGGGUGUAAAGGGAGCGUAGACGGCUUUGUAAGUCUGAUGUGAAAGGCAGGGGCUCAACUCCUGGACUGCAUUGGAAACUACAGAGCUUGAGUGCCGGAGAGGUAAGCGGAAUUCCUAGUGUAGCGGUGAAAUGCGUAGAUAUUAGGAGGAACACCAGUGGCGAAGGCGGCUUUCUGGACUGUAACUGACGCUGAGGCACGAAAGCGUGGGGAGCAAACAGGAUUAGAUACCCUGGUA
rnacentral:rRNA from 1 species